AUUGAACGCUGGCGGCCGGCCUAACACAUGCAAGUCGAACGAGUGGCGGACGGGUGAGUAAUGUCUGGGAAACUGCCUGAUGGAGGGGGAUAACUACUGGAAACGGUAGCUAAUACCGCAUACCAUCGGAUGUGCCCAGAUGGGAUUAGCUAGUCGGUGGGGUAAAGUCUCACCUAGGCGACGAUCCCUAGCUGGUCUGAGAGGAUGACCGGCCACGCUGAAACGGAGAAACGGGCCAGAGUCCUGCGGGAGGCAGCGGUGGGGAAUAUUGCACAAUGGGCGCAAGCCGAAUGCAGGCAUGCCGCGUGUAUGAAGAAGGCCUGCGGGUUGUAAAGUACUUGCAGCGGGGGGGCGUUACCCGCAGAAGAAGCACCGGCUAACUCCGUGCGAGCAGCCGCGGUAAUAC
rnacentral:rRNA from 1 species